CCGGAGNUCACUGCUAUCGGGGUUCGAUUAAGCCAUGCGAGUUGAGAGGGUUAAGACCCUCAGCGGACUGCUCAGUAACACGUGGAUAACCUGCCCUAAGGUGGAGAAUAACCCCGGGAAACUGGGGAUAAUACUCCAUAGACUAGAGCUACUGGAAUGUUCUUUAGUCGAAAGUUGAGGCGCCUUAGGAUGGAUCUGCGGUCGAUUAGGUUGUUGUUGGGGUAACGGCCCAACAAGCCUGUAAUCGAUACGGGUUGUGGGAGCAAGAGCCCGGAGAUGGAAUCUGAGACACGAUUCCAGGCCCUACGGGGCGCAGCAGGCGCGAAAACUUUACAAUGCAGGAAACUGUGAUAAGGGAACCCCGAGUGCCCGUAUACGCGGGCUGUCCAGGUGUUUAAAAAGCAUCUGAAGAAAGGGCCGGGCAAGACCGGUGCCAGCCGCCGCGGUAAUACCGGCGGCUCGAGUGGUGGCCACUAUUAUUGGGCUUAAAGCGUCCGUAGCUGGACCCUUAAGUCUCUUGGGAAAUCCGCCGGCUUAACCGGCGGGCAUCCAGGAGAUACUGAGUGUCUAGGGACCGGGAGAGGUGAGAGGUACUCCGGGGGUAGGAGUGAAAUCCUGUAAUCCCCGGGGGACCACCGAUGGCGAAGGCAUCUCACCAGAACGGCUCCGACAGUGAGGGACGAAAGCUGGGGGAGCGAACCGGAUUAGAUACCCGGGUAGUCCCAGCCGUAAACUAUGCGCGUUAGGUGUACUGGUGACCAUGAGUCACUGGGGUGCCGAAGGGAAACCGUGAAACGUGCCGCCUGGGAAGUACGGUCGCAAGGCUGAAACUUAAAGGAAUUGGCGGGGGAGCACAAGGGCGAAUUCUGCAGAUAUCCAUCAC
rnacentral:rRNA from 1 species